rnacentral:rRNA from 1 species
AUGGGGAAGAAGCCGGGCAGCGCUGGCCCUUGCUCGGCAUCCAGGCCCAUGAACCAGGCCGUGUCGCUCCGCGAGGAGACCUCCGGAAAGACGCAGGCCGACAAGCCCUCCCUGCUGAGGGUCCAGCACCUGCAGCGGCUGGGGGCGUGGGCAAGCGGUGAGGCGGGAGUUGGCUCGAUCGGAGCGCUGCUGGGCCGCCGCUUCGCCACGGACGCCGAGGCGGCCGGGAUCCCCAUUGAUGCUUCCACCUUCCUUUGCCAGAGGUGUGAGUCAAUCUUACAGCCAGGCUUCAACUGCACAAUCCGCAUAAAGAACAACAAAAAGAAAGCAAAGCGGCGCAAGAAGUCAAAUCCUGGCCAAAACAGUGUUGUCUAUGCAUGCCAUUUCUGUGGAGACCAAAACCUGAUACGAGGUAGUGGAAAGGGUAUCGUGAAGGGACUGUUAUCAUCAAGAAAGCCUGUUAGCACAAUGUUGAAAGCAGAAAAUGUGAACAUGCCAACAGUAAUAACUACUAAAAAGGGGAUCGAGCAUUCUGUGACAGCAGCCUCGCAACUGGAAUCAUCCAGGCUGAAAAUAUCCAUUCUUGAAAAGGAUAAACAAGGUAAUGGGCCUAAAUCUAAUCUUCCUGAAGAUUAUAAAGUGGAGAAAGGGGCAGUUUUCUCAAUGGUGGAUCGUGGUCAGUUAGCGGCUGCACACAAAGACAUCCUGCAGAAAAUCGGAGUAGAAAGCACACAUGAUAAAUGUGUGAAUGGAAUUGAGCCUGCGGCAUCUAAAAAUACUAGUGCAUGUGAACAUGAUGUCACUUCUCAGGCAGAAUUUCUAGCUGGGUCAAACUUUGUUACUCCUCAGAAGAACAAACUGGCGGAAGUGACUGCGCCUAUAGCUUCAGCAGAAGCAUUGAAGACAAGAAGUACACUGAACAACAAAGCGCAGAAUUGUGGUUCAGCUGCUGGCAAGGCCCCUGGAAGUUAUAGCAAGUCAGCUUCGAAUACCAAAUCUGCGCCAGGUGGUUCUACUCAGCCGGCUGGCAGUUCAAGGAAGCGGGCAAGAAAAGGGUGGACUACGCUGAAGCAGAUUGCUGAGAAGGACGAGCUUGAGAGAAAAGAGAAGAUGGAUAACUUUGUAAUCCCGUUCUUCAUGCAGUAG